rnacentral:rRNA from 1 species
GAUGAACGCUAGCGGCAGGCUUAACACAUGCAAGUCGAGGGGUAUAGGGAGCUUGCUUCCUAGAGACCGGCGCACGGGUGCGUAACGCGUAUGCAAUCUACCUUUUGCAGAGGAUAGCCCAGAGAAAUUUGGAUUAAUACCUCAUAGUAUAGCAGUUUCGCAUGAAACCACUAUUAAAGUCACAACGGCAAAAGAUGAGCAUGCGUCCCAUUAGCUUGUUGGUAAGGUAACGGCUUACCAAGGCAACGAUGGGUAGGGGUCCUGAGAGGGAGAUCCCCCCACACUGGUACUGAGACACGGACCAGACUCCUACGGGAGGCAGCAGUGAGGAAUAUUGGACAAGUGGGCGCAAGCCUGAUCCAGCCAUGCCGCGUGCAGGAUGACGGUCCUAUGGAUUGUAAACUGCUUUUGUACAGGAAGAAACACUACUUCGUGAAGUAGCUUGACGGUACUGUAAGAAUAAGGAUCGGCUAAC